UACGAAGGGGGCUAGCGUUGCUCGGAAUCACUGGGCGUAAAGGGUGCGUAGGCGGGUCUUUAAGUCAGAGGUGAAAUCCUGGAGCUCAACUCCAGAACUGCCUUUGAUACUGAAGAUCUUGAGUUCGGGAGAGGUGAGUGGAACUGCGAGUGUAGAGGUGAAAAUUCGUAGAUAUUCGCAAGAACACCAGUGGCGAAGGCGGCUCACUGGCCCGAUACUGACGCUGAGGCACGAAAGCGUGGGGAGCAAACAGGG
rnacentral:rRNA from 1 species